UCAGAGGCUCGUUGUGGAUGCCGGCGGAGGAGAUGCCACCCAGGGCGGGAAAAGGGGCGCGCAGGAGGGGCGGCGGCCGGCCGCGGUCCGGAGGGCCCUUUCCUCCCGCCUUUGACUCAAUUAAUUAGGCUCGGAGCUUCCGCCAGAGAGGGGUCUCUGAGAGGGGACACUGCAGGGGGCGGAGGCUGGCGGAGAUCAAGGGCCGAGGCCGCCCGCCCGGGGAGAAAGAGGAGGAGGACGAGCAGGCGUAGAAAAAUGCAGUUUCCAUAGUGCCGGGAAGAGGGCGGGCUCCAGCGAGAAAACAGCCCCAGGAGCCGGGUCCCCGCGGCGGCAUGCCUUCCUCCCACCAGACCUUCUGCACCGCGCGCGGAGGUGCCAGACGUGGACGGCUUCAGACCUGGGCGCCCGCCCUUCCCAGGCAGCGACUGCCGCGUUGAGGAUGCCCUUGAAGAAGUGCUUCGAGUUUUUACAUCCGCUUGGCUUUGGUGACUUCCAAAGUCGAUUACAAAUAAGGACCCAUGGAGUCGCAUCUUCUAAAUGACAAAUUGACAUUUAAGUUGAUUGGCGAGUGAUCCGGAGAGCUGACUGCAGGACCGCAGCCUCGCGCGGCCUCUGGCGCAUCCACCUGAGCUGUUGGGUAUCUUCAACGUGCUCCCGCAGAAGCGUCGCUGCCGUUCCUCCAGGCUUAUUCCGCAUCCGGUCGGAGAGUAACGACUCCAUUUUUGGUGGUAUUGAAGUCCACGUCAUUCACUUCAAAAUGUUUCUUAAAUAUAAUUAAACUAUUUGCUGUUGUUAUCUCA
rnacentral:lncRNA from 1 species